rnacentral:rRNA from 1 species
AGUGAACGCUGGCGGCGUGCCUAAUACAUGCAAGUCGAACGCAGUGGGGACGGGUGAGUAACACGUGGGUAACCUCCCAUCAGAGGGGAUAACACUUGGAAACAGGUGCUAAACCGAUACUGAUGGAUGGACCCGCGGUGCAUUAGCUAGUUGGUGAGGUAACGGCUCACCAAGGCCACGCUGCAUAGCCGACCUGAGGGGGUGAUCGGCAACACUGGGACUGAGACACGGCCCAGACGCCUACGGGAGGCAGCAGUAGGGAAUCUUCGGCAAUGGGCGCAAGCCUGUUGCAGCCAUGCCGCGUGUGUGAAGAAGGCCUUCGGGUUGUAAAGCACUUUCAGCGAGGAGGCGUUACGCGCAGAAGAAGCACCGGCUAACUCCGUGCCAGCAGCCGCGGUAAUUC